rnacentral:siRNA from 1 species
UUAUCUCGGUCUUGUCGUGCG